ACGACUACAUAUCAGGCAUAUCAAUAAGCGGAGGAAAAGAAACUAACAAGGAUUCCCUUAGUAACGGCGAGUGAAGCGGGAAGAGCUCAAAUUUGAAAUCUUCAAGGUUUUACCUUGACGAAUUGUAGUUUAAAGAAGUGUUUUCUGUUGAAGUUUUGGUAAAAGUUCUUUGGAAUAGGACAUCAUAGAGGGUGAGAAUCCCGUAUUUGACCAUUAUUUUCAGCUGUGUGAUACACUUUCAAAGAGUCGGAUUGUUUGGGAAUGCAGUCCAAAAUGGGUGGUAAAUUUCAUCUAAAGCUAAAUAUUGGCGAGAGACCGAUAGCGAACAAGUACCGUGAGGGAAAGAUGAAAAGAACUUUGAAAAGAGAGUUAAACAGUACGUGAAAUUGUCAAAAGGGAAGCGUUUGACACCAGUGUUGUUUUCUCGAAAAUCAAUUAAAAAGAGUUGGAUUUUGUGUUGUAUUGACCUUAUCAGCUUUCUGCACUCUUUUCUAGUCUUUUUUAAUGCACUUUUCGUUUAACAAGUCAACAUCAAUUUCUUUUGUUGUAAAAGGGUCAUUGGAAGGUGGCUUUCUUUUCGGAGAAAGUGUUUAUAGCCUUUGGCCUCUGCAAUCGGAGAGAUUGAGGUCUGCAGCGUAGAUCCUUCGGGGUUAGAUACAUUUGUGCUAAGUUACAGCCUUUCAUAGACAACUUGUUGACUAUGAUCAGUCAUGUAGCUUACUCGCUUAUGCUAUUUUACCUACGCUUAGGAUGUUGAGCGCAUGUCUCUCUCU
rnacentral:rRNA from 1 species